GGUUAAGCGACUAAGCGUACACGGUGGAUGCCCUGGCAGUCAGAGGCGAUGAAGGACGUGCUAAUCUGCGAUAAGCGUCGGUAAGGUGAUAUGAACCGUUAUAACCGGCGAUUUCCGAAUGGGGAAACCCAGUGUGUUUCGACACACUAUCAUUAACUGAAUCCAUAGGUUAAUGAGGCGAACCGGGGGAACUGAAACAUCUAAGUACCCCGAGGAAAAGAAAUCAACCGAGAUUCCCCCAGUAGCGGCGAGCGAACGGGGAGGAGCCCAGAGCCUGAAUCAGUGUGUGUGUUAGUGGAAGCGUCUGGAAAGGCGCGCGAUACAGGGUGACAGCCCCGUACACAAAAAUGCACAUACUGUGAGCUCGAUGAGUAGGGCGGGACACGUGGUA
rnacentral:rRNA from 1 species